rnacentral:lncRNA from 1 species
AUUUAUAAUUUAUUUCCUAUGUUUUCUAAAGAACUAGUUAUAAAAAGGGGGUGGAGUGUUAACUUUCAAUGUUCAUAUUGUUGAGUUUAGUAAUUAUUAUCUUCAAACUGCAAUCUAAAAUAACUGUGUACAUAAUUUUGGUAGUUUGUGUUCUUAGCUAUACCCUGUGUCCAUGUGUUCUCAUUGUUCAAUUCCCACCUAUGAGUGAGAACAUGCGGUGCUUGGUUUUUUGUCUUUGUGAUAGUUUGCUGCUAGACUUAACAUAAUUUAUAUCCAAUAAAAUUUAAAUCUGACACAACCAAAAUUAACUGAAAAGAAGUUUAGAAUUUAUUUAAAGUCUCUUAAAUAAUGUUGAAGUAUGUUUCAACUCUGGUUUGUACAGUUAAAACACAGAAGUAGUUAAGACAGAACUAACAUUAGUGUGGUUGUGCAAAUUAGGAGAGUAAUUUGAAUGAACACUAAAUAAAACUUAUUUUAUUUGAGGAGAGGAAGAGCAGAUUUGAAUUUUUCAUAUGUUAAUGUUUUUAACUUGUCACUAAAAAGUAAUGUUGAGAGAGAAUAUAUCUUAAGAGUGUAUUCUUCCAAUGCAGAAGCUACCUCCAGAGAAAAACAUAGACUUUGCUCUCAGCUAUUAGGGAUUCAUUACAUCUUGGUCUGUUCAUCUGAAUGCAGUAUUAUUCAAAAUCAGAUAUCUCACUGGAGAAAUACAGUGUCCCAAAUGGUCAAAUAAUAACAUCUACUCUCCCAGUUUUUCUAGGCUUAAAGAAUUUAUCUCAUACUUAUUGGUGAAUAACUGUGGGAUGAAAGUGCUACUAUCAAGUGCUCUAAUAGAUCGAAAGUUUUCCUCAGAUACUUCAAUGAUCCACAAUUUUGUAAAUGACUAAUACUGUUGUGCGUUACUUUCCUCCUUAAUAUAAUCAAGACUGUAAGAUAUAUUUUUCAUAAUUAAAUGUAAUAAAAUCAAAAUAUAUAAUGCAACGCCUUGUACUAUGAAUAGUAGUACUCCUUACUCCUUGGUUCCUAUCAAGAAUCAAGUCAAUAUAUACUCUGGGGAAAAUCAUCAUAAGUGAGAACUAGUUCUUAUGCAGGAUAAUUAACAUGCCAAAUAUUGUUUCUCAUUUCUUUCUCUUUUAUAUAGUUGUAGUACUGAACAUCCCGUAUUCCAGGAAUUCUCCCAGUCCAGGUAAAAGCCAGGUUAGAUUACUGUAAUUGGAUCAUUAGUG